UACGUAGGGUGCAAGCGUUGUCCGGAAUUAUUGGGCGUAAAGAGCUCGUAGGCGGUUUGUCACGUCGGAUGUGAAAGCCCGGGGCUUAACCCCGGGUCUGCAUUCGAUACGGGCAGACUGGAGUGAGGUAGGGGAGAUCGGAAUUCCUGGUGUAGCGGUGAAAUGCGCAGAUAUCAGGAGGAACACCGGUGGCGAAGGCGGAUCUCUGGGCCAUUACUGACGCUGAGGAGCGAAAGCGUGGGGAGCGAACAGG
rnacentral:rRNA from 1 species